GUCUUUAAUACUGCUGAACGAUUUAGAUAGUGCAGCAAAAGCUAAAAAAUGUGGUUUCCACUUGUUUUGCUACUGAUUGCUUGCAAAUUGUCGAUUAUGUCAGCGGCAAUAGUGGAACAAAAUUUCGGCAAAGCGAACAUCACUGAGAAUUCAUCCGACGGUUUCUUUUGUGAAACUGUUCGUUUUCCAACUC